rnacentral:misc_RNA from 1 species
AACCUAGCACACCUGCGGUGUGUACCUGCGGAAGGAUCAUUACAGAGUUGCAAAACUCCCUAAACCAUUGUGAACGUUACCUAAACCGUUGCUUCGGCGGGCGGCCCGGGUCCUUCCCGGCGCCCAUCGGCCCUCGCGGGCGCCCGCCGGAGGUAAACCAAACUAUUGCAUUGUAUGGCCUCUCUGAGUCUUCUGUACUGAAUAAGUCAAAACUUUUAGCAACGGAUCUCAGAUCGGAAG